rnacentral:rRNA from 1 species
AGAGUUUGAUCCUGGCUCAGGACGAACGCUGGCGGCGUGCCUAAUACAUGCAAGUCGAGCGGACAGAUGGGAGCUUGCUCCCUGAUGUUAGCGGCGGACGGGUGAGUAACACGUGGGUAACCUGCCUGUAAGACUGGGAUAACUCCGGGAAACCGGGGCUGAUACCGGAUGGUUGUUUGAACCGCAUGGUUCAAACAUAAAAGGUGGCUUCGGCUACCACUUACAGAUGGACCCGCGGCGCAUUAGCUAGUUGGUGAGGUAACGGCUCACCAAGGCAACGAUGCGUAGCCGACCUGAGAGGGUGAUCGGCCACACUGGGACUGAGACACGGCCCAGACUCCUACGGGAGGCAGCAGUAGGGAAUCUUCCGCAAUGGACGAAAGUCUGACGGAGCAACGCCGCGUGAGUGAUGAAGGUUUUCGGAUCGUAAAGCUCUGUUGUUAGGGAAGAACAAGUACCGUUCAAAUAGGGCGGUACCUUGACGGUACCUAACCAAAAAGCCACGGCUAACUACGUGCCAGCAGCCGCGGUAAUACGUAGGUGGCAAGCGUUGUCCGGAAUUAUUGGGCGUAAAGGGCUCGCAGGCGGUUUCUUAAGUCUGAUGUGAAAGCCCCCGGCUCCACCGGGGAAGGUCUUUGAAACCUGGAGAACUUUGAGU